rnacentral:tmRNA from 2 species
GGGGGCGACUGGAUUUGAUGCUAGAUCGCAAGUAGUAUAAAUAUCCUUGUUGACAGUACUGAAAGAAGUACGAACAAUAAAUGCAAACUUAGAUACAAAUAAGUUAGAGGUUGUUAAUGCAUUGCAAAAUAAUCUCUUGGGGACCAAUCACUUCGUCCUAGCAACAGAAAUCGGAAGUGACGUUAUUUACGGGCAGGAUGCAUCAUUUAAACAGGUUGAGAACUGCGCACUUAGGACCGAGCUUGCUACUGCGUUAGUGUAGCUUUUUAACACAAGGUAAACGUAUUUAUAUUAUUUUUCUGGUACACGGGGGUUCGAAUCCCCCCGCCUCCACCA